rnacentral:rRNA from 1 species
CCCAGUGUGAUUCGUCACACUAUCAUUAACUGAAUCCAUAGGUUAAUGAGGCGAACCGGGGGAACUGAAACAUCUAAGUACCCCGAGGAAAAGAAAUCAACCGAGAUUCCCCCAGUAGCGGCGAGCGAACGGGGAGCAGCCCAGAGCCUGAAUCAGUGUGUGUGUUAGUGGAAGCGUCUGGAAAGGCGCGCGAUACAGGGUGACAGCCCCGUACACAAAAAUGCACAUGCUGUGAGCUCGAUGAGUAGGGCGGGACACGUGGUAUCCUGUCUGAAUAUGGGGGGACCAUCCUCCAAGGCUAAAUACUCCUGACUGACCGAUAGUGAACCAGUACCGUGAGGGAAAGGCGAAAAGAACCCCGGCGAGGGGAGUGAAAAAGAACCUGAAACCGUGUACGUACAAGCAGUGGGAGCCUCUUUAUGGGGUGACUGCGUACCUUUUGUAUAAUGGGUCAGCGACUUAUAUUCUGUAGCAAGGUUAACCGAAUAGGGGAGCCGAAGGGAAACCGAGUCUUAACUGGGCGUUAAGUUGCAGGGUAUAGACCCGAAACCCGGUGAUCUAGCCAUGGGCAGGUUGAAGGUUGGGUAACACUAACUGGAGGACCGAACCGACUAAUGUUGAAAAAUUAGCGGAUGACUUGUGGCUGGGGGUGAAAGGCCAAUCAAACCGGGAGAUAGCUGGUUCUCCCCGAAAGCUAUUUAGGUAGCGCCUCGUGAAUUCAUCUCCGGGGGUAGAGCACUGUUUCGGCAAGGGGGUCAUCCCGACUUACCAACCCGAUGCAAACUGCGAAUACCGGAGAAUGUUAUCACGGGAGACACACGGCGGGUGCUAACGUCCGUCGUGAAGAGGGAAACAACCCAGACCGCCAGCUAAGGUCCCAAAGUCAUGGUUAAGUGGGAAACGAUGUGGGAAGGCCCAGACAGCCAGGAUGUUGGCUUAGAAGCAGCCAUCAUUUAAAGAAAGCGUAAUAGCUCACUGGUCGAGUCGGCCUGCGCGGAAGAUGUAACGGGGCUAAACCAUG